AUGAUGGGUGGCAAACAUCCGCAAACCAUACUAACAGACCAAUGCAGGGCUAUGGAAUUAGCAAUUGAGAAGGUGAUGCCAAACACAACGCAUCGCUGGUGCAAGUGGCAUAUCUUGAAAAAGGCAAAAGAAUCUAUUGGAGCCCAUUACACGAAGAGGAGCAAGUUCCGAAUGGACUUCCACAAGAUAAUACACCACAUGCUGACAGUUGAUGAAUUUGAGACAGCAUGGAAUCAACUGACAGAAACACACGGUUUGCAAAGGCACCCUUACUUGACUCAGAUAUAUGAGACGAGAGAAAAGUGGGCAAAGCCAUAUUUCAAUGGUAAAUUAUGUGCAAAGAUGUCAAGCACACAACGCAGUGAGAGUGCAAACCAUAUGCUCAAAACUUAUGUUCCAGCAAGCUGCCCCAUGCACAUUUUCGUUAGGCAAUAUAUGCGACUUCUUUUUGAUAGGGAAGCAGCUGAGAACUACGAGGAAAGGCGCACUAUGAUAAAUACACCAGUUAUGAGGGUGAACACACCACUCGAGCAGCAUGCCAGCAAUGUGUACACACGAGCCAUGUUUGAGAAAUUUGGUGAAGUACUAUAUGAAUCAGGGCAAUAUAAAAUAGAAGAGGUGAGCCGGUGGAAAACAUAUAUAGCGCGACGACACCACCCAGAGAAGCAUGAAAAAUGGUGUAGAGUUUUCUACAAAGUUGAAGUUGUCGAUGACGGCGCACUGAUAGUGUGCGAAUGUGGUAAUUUCGAAUACACGGGAUUGCUUUGUUGCCAUGCAUUAAAGGUCCUUGAUGUCCUUGGUGUGGAUCAUAUACCAGCUAAUCACAUUUUGAAACGCUGGACGAAGGACGCACGGGACUUGCUGCCAGAUCAUCUGGCGCACCUUCAGAAAGAUAAGAUUAAUGUCAAUUCUAUAACAUUCAGGCACUUGAAUUUGUACACACAUGCCCUCGAAGUUGUCCGUCUUGGUGAUGCCAACACAUCUACAUAUGAUUGUGCAAUGGAAAUACUGAAAAAAUCAAUGGAUACACUGACGCCCAUGGCCAGCGUCCGUGAUGGCAUGGGGCUUGAAGACAAAAUUCAGUCAGAUAAAGGGAAAGGCAAGGAGAUGAUUCCAGUGCAUUCAGCAGAAAUCCAUGAAGAUAGCGAUGCUGAAGGGAGUGCAGUUGGCAAUUUUGUUGGUUUGAAGCCUCCAGAACGAAAGCGUAAACCAGGAAGACCUACUACCAGCCGGGAUAAGCCUCCCUAUGAUGAUCGAGGUGCAAAGAGCAAAAAAUUCAAGGGCACAGUGAACAGCCAAGCUCCAGAUGGCGGGGGUACAAGCAAGCGUACUCGUUUCUGCAGUAUAUGUCGUGAACCUGGUCACAAGAGUACUACAUGCCCGCAAAGAGGUGAUCUCCCUCGCAAGGAAAGGAAGGAGGCCAAAUGUUCAAACUGUGGUGUCGGUGGCCACAAGAAGAACACCUGCAACAAGCCUAAAGCGGUGUUGCAUGUCGUUGAACAUGCAACCAUGGAGCAGAUUACCAUCUAG
rnacentral:rRNA from 1 species